GACGAACGCUGGCGGCGUGCUUAACACAUGCAAGUCGAACGGACAGGCCCUGCUUUUGUGGGGUGCUCGAGUGGCGAACGGGUGAGUAACACGCGAGUAUCCUGCCCUUGUCUUUGGGAUAACUUCAGGAAACUGGGGCUAAUACCGGAUAGGAGCUCCUGCUGCACGGUGGGGGUUGGAAAGUUUCGGCGGUUGGGGCUCGACUCGCGGCUUCUCAGCUUGUUGGUGGGGUAGUGGCUUACCAGGGUUUUGACGGGUAGCCGGCCUGGGAGGGUUACCGGCGACAAUGGGACUGAGGGACGGCGCAGACUCGUACGGGAGGCAGCAGGGGGGAAUAUGGCACAAUGGGCGGAAGCCUGAUGCAGCAACGCCGCGUGCGGGAUGACGGGCUUCGGGUGGUAAACCGCUGUCGCCUGUGACGAAGCGUGAGUGACGGUAAUGGGUAAAGAAGCACCGGCUAACUACGUG
rnacentral:rRNA from 1 species